rnacentral:rRNA from 1 species
UACGAAGGGGGCUAGCGUUGCUCGGAAUCACUGGGCGUAAAGGUGCGUAGGCGGUCUUUAAGUCAGGGGUGAAAUCCUGGAGCUCAACUCCAGAACUGCCUUUGAUACUGAGGAUCUUGAGUUCGGGAGAGGUGAGUGGAACUGCGAGUGUAGAGGUGAAAUUCGUAGAUAUUCGCAAGAACACCAGUGGCGAAGGCGGCUCACUGGCCCGAUACUGACGCUGAGGCACGAAAGCGUGGGGAGCAAACAGG